UGGUUCUGGCAUNGAUGAAGAACGCAGCGAAAUGCGAUAAGUAAUGUGAAUUGCAGAAUUCAGUGAAUCAUCGAAUCUUUGAACGCACAUUGCGCCCUUUGGUAUUCCGAGGGGCACGCCUGUUCGAGCGUCAUUUAAACCAUCAAGCUCUGCUUGGUCUUGGGCGAGGUCGAGCGACCCGUCCGUAACCCGUUGGCGGUGCAGUCCGGCUUCAAGCGUAGUAAGAAUUCCGCUUUGGGGGUCCGCGACGGCGUCUGCCAGGGAACAAUACCUAAAGUUUGACCUCGGAUCAGGUGAGGAUACCCGCUGA
rnacentral:misc_RNA from 1 species